rnacentral:rRNA from 1 species
AUUGAACGCUGGCGGCAUGCCUUACACAUGCAAGUCGAACGGCGGCACGGGAGCAAUCCUGGUGGCGAGUGGCGAACGGGUGAGUAAUAUAUCGGAACGUGCCCAGUCGUGGGGAUAACGUAGCGAAAGCUACGCUAAUACCGCAUACUAUCUAUGGAUGAAAGCGGGGGAUCGCAAGACCUCGCGCGAUUGGAGCGGCCGAUAUCAGAUUAGGUAGUUGGUGAGGUAAAGGCUCACCAAGCCGACGAUCUGUAGCUGGUCUGAGAGGACGACCAGCCACACUGGGACUGAGACACGGCCCAGACUCCUACGGGAGGCAGCAGUGGGGAAUUUUGGACAAUGGGCGCAAGCCUGAUCCAGCAAUGCCGCGUGCAGGAUGAAGGCCUCGG